CCCAGCGAAGCUAAGCACUCAGACAUAGGCCCGCAGAGACGAGCUAGGAAAGUACCAAACCCGGCUGGAACCCAGAUUUUAGGACCCCCCCACAUCCGGCGACGGCUACGGUUUUGUGUGAAGAAGCAGCGCUACAACGCGGAUGAGAAAUUAGCACAAGGACAUCCGGUUACUGAUGUCAUCAAGGUGACUUCAUCUCCAUGCACAUUUUAAAAGAUAAACAUCAGAGGUGGCAAACUUGGUAGAAAAAAAAGGUCCAGAUGAAUUACACAGUGCAGAAGGAGUUGAUAGCCUCCACCUCCUCAGAUCUACAAUCAGAAUGAUGAGGGUCAGGACUCAGUGGUUCAGAAGAAAAGGAAGUCAUUACAAAUAAUGUACCUGGGCAAAGACAGGAAAAAUGACAUCCAAGAUGACUAGAGGCCACAUGGCCACCACAACACUCACCUUCUGAUUGGCAGGUUGUUGGAUGUCCUACCAAAGAUAAAUUCUAGAGAUUCUUAAUUGCAAGCAUAAUUUCAGAAGAAUAUUAAAAAUAACUUGCUCUGUGGAUAU